GAUGGGCCUGCGGCCGAUUAUGCUGGCUGGUGGGGUAAAAGCUCACCAGGGCGACGAUCAGUAGCUGGUCUGAGAGGACGAUCAGCCACACUGGGAUUGAGAACGGCCCAGACUCCUACGGGGGGCAGCAGUGAGGAAUUUUCCGCAAUGGAGGAAACUCUGACGGAGCAACGCCGCGUGCAGGAUGACGGCCUUCGGGUUGUAAACUGCUUUUCUUGGGGACGAGAACGGACGGUACCCAAGGAACAAGCCCCGGCUAACUACGUGCCAGCAGCCGCGGUAAUACGUAGGGGGCGAGCGUUGUCCGGAGUUACUGGGCGUAAAGGGUCCGCAGGCGGUCUUCCAGGUUCUGUCUGACAGUGUUCGGCUUAACUGAGCAAGGUGACAGAAAACCGGGGGACUUGAGAGCUUCAGAGGGACACGGAAUUCCGGGUGGAGUGGUGAAAUGCGUAGAGAUCCGGAGG
rnacentral:rRNA from 1 species